UAAAAAACCAUAGAAAAAAUUCAAUCACUGAAACUAGACCAACUAAUAAAGAUCCUUGAUGAGCUAGGACUCACCGGGGUCUGUAAGCACAGAACGGUGAUAUAAUAACUCUAAAGUGCGCAUUAAAUUGCACAUCCCGAAUGAAACAUCUACAUCUACAUCUAACACAAAUACUACAUGAAAAAAUUUCCACUAAUCGGACAAAAUUCCUACAUAUAAGAUUUUUUUUUAAUUUUAAAAGCUACCACACGUUACUAUUGCCUACAAAGAUAAAACUACAAAAUAAAUUACUUUGUAUAACAAGUUCUUAUCAAACCUGUGGUCAUGCGCUCAAAUAAUAAUUUUCAAGACAAUUUUAAAGGUGAACGGCUUUUUCAAACUUUUACGAUUGCAUAAGAAGAAAUUGACAGCAACAACAGAUUCUCGAUUCAACUUUGAUUGAACUUCAGUGUCCAAUUUCAAGUUUAGAUCCUUACAUAAACGAUCCACCUUGAAGUCAAAACACUUCGAAUCGAUUUUAUCUUCAUCAGGAAGUGAUCGAGCGAAAAAAAAGUAUAAAUCAACAAAUCAAAUUUAUGUUUAAAGUAAAUAACUCACGAAAGUCUUUAUCUAAAUGGAAAAACAUUGACUGUCACAUUUUUCAA
rnacentral:misc_RNA from 1 species